CAAGCUUGCCGGCAUUCAUUACAGGGACAUACUAAGGCAAUCCACUCCGUGUGCUGGGAUCCUUCUGGUGAGUAUCUAGCAUCUGUCAGUGAGGACUCCGUCAGAGUCUGGAGACUUGGAUCAGGGAGUGAGGGGGACUGUGUUCAUGAAUUGAGCUGUAACGGCAACAAAUUCCAUUCCUGUGUUUUCCAUCCUACAUACCCUUCAUUACUAGUCAUUGGUUGUUACCAGUCCUUGGAGCUAUGGAACAUGACUGAGAACAAGAGUAUGACUCUGGCAGCUCAUGAAGGACUAAUUGCUGCUCUUGCUGUAUCACCUGUGACAGGGUUGGUUGCAUCUGCUAGUCA
rnacentral:misc_RNA from 1 species